CUUACCAUUGUCGAAAACGACCCAAAUAAAACAUGGCGUGAUGAACUAGGCAAUAUCCAGCUGGCACUGAACAGCACUAGAUCCACUGUAACAAAAUAUACUCCAACCGAGCUCAUGUUCGGAAUAAGAUCACUGUCUUUAGGGUUAGCUAAAAUAUCUCCAAAUACCCAAAGUGAGAAUCAGUUAAAUCUCGAAACUAUUCGGAAUGAGGCAUCUGAAAAUAUAGAAAAGGCUGCAAGUUCUGAAUCGGUACGUUUUAACAGAGGUCGGGCUGCAGUUAAACCAUACACAAAAGGUGAUUUUGUCUUUAUUAAGAGUUCAGAGCGUAAUCAAACCAAAUUGAGUAGGAAAUUCAAAGGGCCCUACGUAAUCAUAAAUGUUCUUGAUAACGAUCGUUACGAGUUAAAAAGUCUUGAUGGAACAAAUCGCAUUUUUAAGUAUGCUCACGAGAACUUGCGUUUAGUGCCCGGGGGUAAUGAGGGUUUAAUUGAAAUAUCAACGUACAUUUCGGAAGAGGAUGAAGCGGUGACGGCGGAAAAUGGAGAAAACCACGAUGAUACCGAUAUAACACCUUUCCACAAUGACAUGAAUGGCUAUGACACUAUAUCUAUUGGGUCUGAAACUUUAACUGCUGACUCUGAAGAUUUUAAUAAUAGCAUGAGAUUUGAAGUUGAGGUCGAAGUUCAUAGGGAAUAAAACAUGAAAUGCCCAUGCGCCCGAGGACGGGCGACUGUCAGAAUGGCCGUGACGGCGCGACGGUAGCGCCACCUUCAAUUUCUAGACGAGAAUGACAGAUUAAAUACUGUCAUUCUGGCGGAACGUCAAACGGGCAACCAUCUUGCAGCUCACUUUUUAUUCGAGCGCGACGGAGGUUGCACGUCAUCGACGAAUCGCCUUUAAUCUGCGUCAAAUUACUUAUAAUUAAGUGUUAAUUGGUUCCGAUUGAUUAAACAAGUGUGUGAGAAUCAUAUUCCGGCUUUAUUUUUGAUCUUACCCGCCCAAAUACCCACGCAAGAUGGACCCGCCUAAUGAUGACGGUACAGAA